GAGGGAGGGAGGACUGAGGCCACUGCUCUCACUGGAGUCUCUGAGGGGAGGCAAAGCAGGGCAGGAUUCACAGUUUGGGACCGGCUUGUUUGAAUCGUUUUAAGAAGGCUUGAGGCUAGAGGGGUAGCCUCUAGCAGGCUGGUACCUCGCCCUGGGAUGACUAAGUUGCACCUUCCUGGGGUGCACGGGCCAGACGGAGGAGUGUGGCUCUGGCUGGGUUAGUUUACACAUGGAAGGCAAGCUCCUGGCUGGAGCUUUGCUCUAAGAAUCAGCUAGCCCUUGGAGGGGCAGUCUCUCCCCAGCCAGGAAGGGUUUCUGUUUGUUUGCUUGCUUGUUGGUUUUGUUUUUCUUUUUUUUAGAUAUCAAAACAUAAUCAGACAAUAACAUAUGUACAACACAACUUUUAAAUCAGUGGACUUUGAGUGUAGCAGACUGCCUUACAUAAUGUGGGUGGGCCUCAUCCAAUCAGUUGAAGGCCUUCCUAGCACACUGACCUCUCCCAAGAAAGAGGGAACUCUCCCAGCAAAUGGCCUCUGGACGUGAACUGCUACUCUUUGCUAUAUCGCCAGCCUGUUGGCUCACCUCCAUUAGCUUGUGGACUCACCAAGUCUCCAUAAUUGUGUGAGCCAAUUCCUCAAAAUAAAUCCUGCUCGAUAUAUGAAUGCACACGCAUCCUGUUGGUUCUGUUUCUCUGAAGACCGCUGACGGACACAGAUGCCUUAACUCUGAAGACCACCACUGUGCGCGAGGAGCUUCUGUUCCCUCCUGUUCGUUCAUCUUUUUUGGAGGGAAGCUUGGAGACUCUUGGGGGAGAACCCUGUCAGGGAAACCCGACAAAAUCAUGAAUAGCUAGCAUGUAGGAGUGCCCAUCAGAACAAGAAUGCUUUGGCUCCCUGCGGCUGCAUCACAGAGCUCUCUGCUGGGUUGGGUGUCGGGCUCUGGGGGCCCCCGAGCUACGGACGUCGGGAUGGUGUGCUGUCUCCGUAUGAGGCCAUGUGAUUUUACUAUCAAAAACUGAAGCAAUGCGAGGGUGUAUUUUUUUUUAAAGAUUUCAUUUAUUUAUUUAUGUAUUUGAGAGAGAGAUAGACAGACAAAGAGCAGGAGAGGAGCAGAGGAAGAAGGACAAGCAGACUCCAUGCUGAGCGCAGAACCUGGCAUGCGACUUGAUCCCAGAACCCUGAGAUCACGACCUGAGCUGAAAUCAGAGUCGGAGGUUUAACUGACGGAGCUCCCAGGCGCCCCUAGCGUGUGGUGUAUGACAUCCCGCCUUCCUCCGAGAUACCUCUGCGGCUGGGGUAGGCGCUGGCAGGUAGAUGAUGGAGCUCCUGUGGCCGUGCCGGCUGACAGCAAGCCCGAGCGGCCACACGUGGUGCCCUUUCCCGGGGAUUUGGAUGGCAGUGUCCGGCGUGGCUGACACGCUGCAGAGAUGGUAAAGGUGCUCGCCAGUUAUUUCGUGCUGAUGGACAAGUCCUGUCUGAGCACAGUGCCCACUGCGUUGUCACGACAGGCUCGUGGGCAGAUGCACCGAGGGCAGGCCGGCCUUCCAUCAGCCACCCUAACGGGCACCAGUAGUCAGGAGGUGGGAGACGCUCCUCAGAAAGGUAACCGUGCAAAAGCAGUCUGCUUCAGUGGCCGCCUCACUCGGGGCAGUCAGCAUGUUGACCAGCUCUAAAGGACGUGACUCUCUCAUUCCUUAGGGACAGCCACAGCAGUAAAGCUGGACCCAGACUGUGUGUGGAGCUUACUCAAAUCAGUGCUUGCUUUUCAUCUAUGCAGAGGCCAUCAGAGGAGCCAGAAAUCGGCCCUUGCAACUGUUACGAAGUGAAGUGGAUUGUAGACCACAGCAAGCACGGCCCCAACCCCGGACCAUCUUCCCUCCUCGGUGGUUCGGGCAACCUCGUCCGCAUUUCCGUACUGAGGAGACGACAGAACCACGUGUAUCAUCGGGAGUUGUAAAAAUUUUAUCAGAGAAAAGGCCAAGGGACCCAUUGUGCCUCACCAACAGGGGUCUACGGCCGAGAAGUGACAUGAGAAGGCGAGAGGCUUCCGUCACGGACCCGUGGCGAGGUUGUGUGACUGGGGGGCAGAAACCCAGACACCAGGCCUGGAGAACGAAGUUACGGGAGGAGUUCUAUGGCCAUAAGGGAGGUGCUCCAACGCUAAGGUGAACCAACCCACGGCCCCAGGCCCCGGAAGAAGAAAAGGCAGCUCCUCUGAGCUCUGCAGCUGGGCUGUUUCACGGAACAGGCUGGGGGAGGCUUCAUCUGCCUGGUCCCCGCCUCAUGUGUCCUUGGUCCCCCAGGGACCCUCCGCAUCGCCCACACCUUGGUUUGGUAAUGACAUGCAGGGAAGGUGACAUGGCAGAAGCCUGGUCAGCAUCCCCCACCCCUGCGGCCCGGCCCGUCUUUGCUCCUAACCCCCAUACGCUCUCGACCUCUUCCAAAAGGAAACAAGAUUGACUUUGGUCUGAAAGAGGUAUGCUUAAAAAAAGAUCUUCUUUUAUUAAAACAGUGGUUACAAAUACUUCAUUGGACUUCCCCAUCCUUUCUCCAUCGCACCGGGCUCAGAGUCAACGCAUGCAGCACUUGGCCUUCCCGCCGUAACAGGUGCCGUCCACCCUGGUGAAGAGCGGGCACGGGGAAAAGUUACAGGUGCCUCCUCUCCUGGCACAGACGUAGUGGUCUGACCUCUGGCCGAAACCUGUAAGGUAGCCAGCACCUGUAAGAAGGGAAAGAAAACACUUCAGACUCAUGCUUGCGGCCACGGUGACGUUAGAACAUUUGAUAAGGUGACUCUUUGCAAAGCACUGCAAGGAGUUUUCUUGCUCAGACUUUGCACAGUCCGAGGUCUGUGACAGCCGUGGCCAAAUGGGAGACAACGAUGAGCAACAGGCUUCUGAGCGCGGUUUCCUUCUGCCCAGAGAGCUUUAAGGUACACGGUGAGUUCACGUUAGUCCCCAAAUGAGUCUUCUAUCCCAUCGCACUGCUGCCCAAACACAACCCCUGUGCCUUAGUGACACUGAAGUGCAUUCCUGACUCCCUGAACGUUCUAAGCUCCCCCCACUCCCGUGCUGCCUGGUUGCACCAUCCCCUCCGCCCGGAAUCCCUGCUCCCCUGUCCCUCAUACCACCAUCUUCCCUGAAAUCCUUUCAGGGCAGGUAGAAAGUAUGGCUACGCUAUAAUGCUUCCACUGUUUUGUCCACUUGGACUUUAUUCUGCCUUCUUCCCAGUAUCCCAGAAUCUCACAAUCAGAAGAUUUCCAGACUGGUCUUCUCCUCUAUCCAAUAGCCGCCCUACUAUAUCCCCGAGAUGAAAACUGCUAAAAGAGAACGUCCAGUCAUGGCUUCCUGCAGUGACCACACAACCGGCAUUCACCUCAGGGCAUGUGGGCCUCUGUUUCCCCAUGGGUGAGUAGACGAGCCCUAAUGGCUUUCCCAGAAAAGGGAGUGAACUGAUCCUAUGUGAGGGCUCAGAGUGAGUCACAGUGUGAGGCUGGGACCCAAGCAGCACCUUCUAGAAGCAGCGCUCUGCUCCCUUCUUACAGGAACUUCGUCCCGUCCCAUCUGCAGACUGAGGAUCGGUGCUGUGCAGACAGGCCGUGUGUUGUCAGAGGUCGGCGCAGAGCAGCUUUUCCCGGCAGCAUCCGAGCGAGUCCUGCAUACACUCGGUGUUCUACCAGGUUAGCUGAUAUUUCUAUGCGGGAUGUAAGUUGGGCUGUUCCAGGAACACGUUUGUGUUCCCUGCUUCGAAUGAGAUGCUUCUAGUCCCAUGUCGAGGUGACAGACUGCAAUUCAUGUUAAUACUGUGGCUCUCAGCUUUUCUGAGCUUGAACCGAACUGCAGUCAGUCAGACAGGUUGCCGGGCCCCUCGGGACAAAUGCACACGUCCACGCACGCAGCUGAGGUCAGAGCGUGACAAAACGGCGGUGCGAGCGCGGUGUGGCAAGCACUCGUAUUUUCGGUUCUUUUGAAAAAAACACGGUGAGGACUCACUAGGCUGAUUGCUCCAGCCCUCGAAUGGGCCCCAGCUGGAAACCUCAAACUCUGCGUCAGAAUACUGUCCUAGCCAGUUUCCAGUGGGGGGAUGCAGCAGAUCUGUAUGAUGCGGGAAAGCAUGGUCGGGUCUUUCCGGAGAAAAGCAUGGAGCUUCGUGUGCUACGUGCCCCCCGCCCCAGCCCCCUUGUUCUGCAGACGAGACAGCUGAGGCCCAGGAUGCAGGGUUUGCUCAAGGCCACGACAGAACCUGUCCCCCAGUUGGUUGCACCUGCAGCAUCCCAUCUCUUCUUACACUGCUGUUCUGACCCAGGGGGCUGGCACCUUGCGGCCUGACAGAGCGCUCCCCCCUGCGCCCUGGGGAGAUUGCCCACUCCGCAGAACACGUGAGCAUUUCCCAAGGAAGACCGAAGACCACCUGAGCACCCCUGACCGCCUGCGCGUGAACUGCGACUGGAUUCAGCCGUCAGCCUGGAAACUGGAGUUGGCUCCUCCAGCCAGUUCUGUUUGGUUUCUGAGGCUGGGCCGUGCUGGUGGGCUUCCUGAAGAAGGCAGCCCAGGCAAGCUGGCCCGUGUGGAGCGGCUUAGAGAGCCCGAGGACCUGGCUUCGGGGGAGCACCGAGACAGUGCUGAAUAGUACUCUGUCGUUGGAAUGAACCUCGGUUUACUUCUCCAUUCGUUUACUGAAGGACGUCCCCGUUGCUUCCAAGCUUCGGCGAUGAUGACUGAAGCUGCAAUAAGCCUGUGUCAGGUUCUUGUGUGGCCAGAUGUUUUCAACUCCUCUGUGUGAAUGUCGAGGUGCGUGAUUGCCGGAUCGUAUGGUAAGAGGUUCCAUUUUAUUAAAAAUUGGCGCCGUUUUGCACCCCCUGGCGGUGAGAGUUCCCGCUGCUCCAGGUCCUGGCCAGCAUUGGGUGUUGUCAGUGCUCCCAGAUUCGGGCCAUUCUCACGGUGGGGAGCACUCUUUCCUUGUCUCAAUGUGCAUUUCCCUGGUGACGUAUGAUGUGGCGCAUCUCUUCUUGUCCAGCCUUCCUUUUCUCCAGCUAGACGUCUGUUCCUAGGAAGUUGUCACCUACGGCUUCCCAGAGAGCAAGCCCUGGUGUGGCCUCGGGGAGUCCCAAGUCCUGGUUUCCAGCGGGGCUGAGUCUUCCUGAGCUCAAGGAUUGGAGUCCGGUCCUUCAGCUGCCAGACUGGGGUGUUGUGUUAGCUACUGUCUAGAAUCUCUCCAGUUCUCAUCAAUUCUAACGGUAUUUUAAAGGUUUUGUUUAUUAUUAUUUUCAUAAUUCUAUGCGUGGCUUUCCUACUGUCUUGGUCAGUGUUCCUAUGUGUGAGCAAGAGAAGCAGCUCUGGCUGAUUAAACAGAGAGGAGUUUCCCAAAAGGGUCGUUGGGGGGCCUGCAGAACCUGCUUGGAGCUCAGCUUCCAGCAACAGUGUCCGAACUAGGCCACAGAUCUCAACUGACACAGACCCGUGUGCUGUGGCCGCUAUGCGUGAGACACCAGGAGCUGGCCUUCACCACCAAAGCAGCACCUUCUGGAUACUUCCACAGCAGCCCUGCCAGAGAGAGGACAGAGAGACACAUGCACACACAGACUGUGAGAGACAGAGAAGAACAGAGAAACAGAGCGAGGCACACAGAGACAGAGACGUGGGCAGACGGGUUUGACAUGAGGAGCCCCCUUCCCUGCCCUUCUCACACUGAGCCCCACCAUUGGUCCCAUUGUCCCACCAGCCCUGGGUCCGGGUGGCAGAGGCUCAGUCACAGGGCCAGCUGCGAGGGAGUCUGGGAAAGCAAGACCCUCACAUAUUCAGCAUGUGUCGAGGGGGUUUUUGCCUCCCAUUGAGUCUGAAGUUAGGGGACCCCCAGACACUGAGAAGGGUUAAGAUGUUGAGUGAAUAAAAACAUACACAAGGCUUUAUUGCAUUCGAAUUCGUUGAUCCUUCCAUUGGCUGGUUCGAGUGCAUUUGUUCAAUUCCCGUGAUGUGCCGGGUGAUCUUCUGCUGGCUUGGAGUGCAGUGAGGAGUCAGCUCUCAGGAGGUGUCCCUCACAGGUCUAGCUGGGGAGACAGAUGAGCAGACAGGGCGUUACUGCGGCACUUGGCAGGUGCUUGAUGGGGACGUGGUUCAGGCAGGGGGUGGGCCAGGCCAGUGCCCGAGGCACACGUACAUGUAUUUAGGCUUUUAAAUGCCACAUUGGACAGUGUGGGGUUUCUCCUUAGCGAUAGGGAGGCUUUGGAAUAUCUGAAUCGGAGGAAAUAAGUGGAAGGUGGAUGGGAAGAGCAAGACUGGAUGUAGGAAGACAAGGUGAGGCUGGUGGAGGAACUGGGGUCUUAACUAAGGUAGUGAAGAGGGAUGGAAGGAAGCUUGGAGUCAAGGGGUAUUAAGAUGCUGAAGCCAAGGCAUCAGUGUCGUAGACGGAAGGGGCGAGAUUUCUGGCUCGGACUAGAUAAAGGUGACGUCAUAUAAGGAGCUGGGAUAAAGAGGAGGGGCAUCUGACUGGGGAGAUGGUGCUUGCAUCAAUGUUUGCGCGUAAGGAGCGUCUCGCUUUGGGUUUCCCUGGAGGCAUGAGUGAAUCCAGCGAUGGGGAGGUGUAAAGAUUAUUAGUAAGUGAGGGGAGAAAUAAUUAAUGGGGGGAGGCAGGACGGCCGAUAAAAUGUGUGAUAUUAAGGCCACAGGGGACGCGCCGAGCUGAAUUGUGUGGGAACCUCGGGAAGCCAAGCCCCCGAUCUCCCCAGGCUAGGGAAUUUGAAAGCUGGGGUAUUCAUGCCCCACAGCCUCAUCACUGGUUAAAGCUGCUCCUAGCACGAGGCUGAUUCCUGGGCGUGAAGGUUGGUGGGCUGUGCUGCCUGGUGGCAGAGAGACAGGUGUCGGCUCUUGGAAGGCAAGCGAUUUGCACAGAAAUGGUAAAGGAGGCUGUGGUAAUGAAUGAAAUCUGUAAGGAAAGGAGGUUUUUAACAAAUCCCAGAGAAGACGGACAUUUCAGGGAGCAUGAAAGAAAACCAGGAGAAUGGGGGUGGAAGUCAGGGGAGGGAGCAUUUUCAUGGGAGGGAGAGGCGACCAAAUGCAGAAAACUGUAUGACAACAAAACAUUGCAGAGUGUCCGCUGGGUUUGACAUCCAGUGAGGGUGUGCGAGAAGCCCCAGACUCCUCCUGGGUGCACUUGGUUCUAGGCGGCUGUAGCCAGAUAUUUGGGACAUUGGCCCCACCUGAGUGGGCACUGACAUUCUAACCUCCCGCCCCUGGGGUCCCGUCUGCCCCCGGUUUCUGUCCACCUCCUGCUGAAUGGCUUUUCCUUCACCUCUGGCGGAGUUUCUCCUUUAUUUCUGGCACCUGAGGGUUCGAGCUCCAUGCUUUCAUCCUUGGCCCUGUGUUAACACUGGCUGUCGAUGUUUCCAGUCCUCCUAUGUAUUUAUGGUAGUGUUAGGGUGCAGGCUGCCUUGCUGUGUGGCCGGGACCCCCAGGGGCGGGGUCCCAGUAGCCACAAUGAGAAGGCACCCGCACCGGAGAGCCUCAGGUCAGGGAGAUGGCUUUGGAAACAGGAGAGCGGCCGCACUGCCCGCAGCCGCCGGCUCGCGCUGGUAAGAAGCGUCACGGAAAUCAAGCUGUCCAUCUAUUUGAAGGGCUGGGAGGUCACAGAUGGCAAAAUGAGCAGAGGGGCGCCUGGGUGGCACAG